UCGUCAGUAAGGUUAAUCCUUACCUGUUCCUCCUUUUGGAGAACAGAGAUAAAAUGAUGAUUGGAGCUCUCAUGAUACGUGAUAGCGUCUCCGUGUGAGCAGGACUUGCAACAUCCUGUUUGCUCCUAUCUGAU
rnacentral:snoRNA from 1 species